AUGCCCUGUUUUUUCAUUCGAACGUCUUACAUAUGAGUGACCCUAAUGACAGUAAUGACCGUCGUUGGGCCCUCAUCAUGGCCUACAACCGGGCCAGUAAUAACCCAGUGGAGAGGCUGGCUGCACCCUUCCCAAGAUACACGCCAACAGUGAAGGUUCCUAACUCAGCCAUAUUGAGCUGUACCAAUGUGAGCGACUUCUCAGGAAAAGCGUUCCUGAAUCCCAUGGAUGACAAAACUGUAAAAGCUGACACCAACAAACAAGGCAAUCUUCAAAAGGCAUAGUCACAAUGUGAUCUUGAUGAAGAUUUUGUCCUGGAAAAUAUGAAUCAUAAUGAAAAGAAAGACUAGAUAUAUAUACCUUGCUUCCUAAUGCCCUUCUACAGGAUGAACAUAUAUUAUAUUAUGGCAUUGUCUGGCUGUCUGGCUGUCAAUAGCAUCAACAUCAACAAUUUUACCUACAUUCACCAAACUUGCUUUACUCAUGUAUCUUACAAACACGGAAUGUCACAUACAAAAUUGCUUCUAGUGCCAUAGAAUGAUAGCCCUUCGUUCAUUUUUAUUCCAAAGUUUGUUUGGAGCAUGGCUCCACGCUUUUCCACAUACGUUCAUACAAGUUGUGUACAUUUAUAUGAAAUGGUGGGAGUGACACACAUUUAUUUCAUGUCCUAUGCCCCAUUAUAUUUAGAGCAUGAUAGCCUGUCUAUUAAGUUUUUACAUUAUUAUCCAUCUUGUGCAUACUUAGAUAUAUUUGCCAAUUCACCAAUCAUUUUCCUUUUGUUUUUCAAUAGUUUUAUUUCCUCAGCCUGUAGAUAUGUAUAUAACAUUACUUUAAGUAUUUCAAUAUACAUAUAUGCUUUCUUUGCUGGAUAUUUCCAGGGUUGAGUCUGUAACAUUCCUAUCGCUCCUUCAACCACUAAACAUUAUACAGUUAGUCUUGAUUCAAAAUUAGAUGUUACAGGGCAAGUGACAGGCGCAUUCGCUUCUUAUGUACAGUUAUUAGUCAUAGAAGCUCUGAUAAGGAGAAUUAUGAAUGUUAAACUUGGUAACCUGAAAUAGGUAAAAUGUACAUCUGCCUUUGUGAGAAAAUACUUCUGGUUUAGGCCCUAAGUUGUGCUCAAUGCCAGUAUUCUCAUAAUUGUUUAACGUUUUGUAAGUUUAAAUCACAGGUGCUGUAAUGUUAUAUAAUGGUGCCUGAUAACAGGCUUCGGUUUCACAAGACACCAUAAUUAGGAUUUGUUCCUUAACUUAAAUUUCCACAAUUAAACGUAAGCUGAGGAUUGUUUGGAAAAUCUAGGCCAGGUUUGAAGGUUAUUACUUGUUAAAGCAUACAUAGUCUCUUAUAUUUAUUUAUUUCCGUUUUUUGACCAAGUGCAAUUUAACUUAUAAGUAUAAUUACUCUUUCCCUUGUCAUCAUCUGAACAUUUGUUCGUAUUUUUUUUUCAUGACAGUCAUUUAUGUUAAGAGUAGGACAUGUCUUUUAGUAUGUAUAAGAUUAAUUCAGUCUUUGAAUCUACAAUUAUUAUUUUCUUAUUUUGAGGCUGCAGUUAGGGUCGCUGGAGGGCAGUGUUACCAUUACAACAUGUUCAAUGAUUAUUAUUUCUUAUAGUCAUAGAUAUACACAAUAAAAGAAUUGUCACCCUCAUUCCCAUUGGUCGAAAGUUAAUGAUGAAUUUAAGUCCAUUAAUGUCCAUUUUACUUUUUCGGAAGAUGAAAAUAAUCCUCCUCCUCCUCCUCCUCCGAAGAAGCACGAUCGACAAGGCCAGGAGGCUGACAUAUUGGGACUGAGAGUGACAAUUGCUUAAUUGUUUUUUCCCUAUGGAAAUCAACUGUUGUGUAUUAUAUCGGAAGUAUAUGGUGUUUAGGCACAAGAUAGUUUAAAAAAAAUGUUUUGAUUGAUACUGGCUUUCAUAUUAGCAGUGAAGAUGAGUAUUUCUUGAUACAUAUAUAGACCUGUCAAUUUUUUAUUCUAUCCAAUACAUAUUUUGAAUUGUUAGUUUUGUAAAUGGCACAAAACAAUGCAUGCUUUCAAAUUAUCUUUGUCGUUUUUUUUCUCGGAAUACCAAACAGUUGAUUGGUACAGUACAAUCAAAAGGAUUUGUUAAGCAUUUAUACUACAAACUGUAUUCAUUAUCAUUCUAUCAUUGUCCUGCGUCACAUAUAUAGCUUGGUGUUGAUCAUGUUAUCUUUUCACCUGUUUUUAUUUUUUAUGAGUACCCAUCCAGUUUAUGAGGAAGUGGAAUUAUUUCUACAAAAGGACUAUGAAAUGCUUUUAUGCAUUUAUGUUUUAUUUCCGAUUUCAAAGUUUUCAAGUAUUCAGUAAAAUUCUAGCUUACAUUGUAGUGCAAUAUUAUUGUUAUUGUUGUCAAUGUGUAAAACACAUGUGUAGGCAUUGUAGUACAAGUCUAUACUACCUUUAUAUCUUUACCUGUCGUUAUUUUGUAUUUCUUUACUGACUCUUCACAGAUUCACGUUCACAUUAAUCACCUUUGAAGUUAUAACAGUUACCCAUUAUAAACCUACACCGAACAAGUAAAAUAGACGUAACUUAAAUUCAUCGUUAACUUUCGUCCUUGAAGAAGGCCAUGAUGUUCAGAUAUUGGUACUGAGAGUGAUAGUUGUUUUAUUGUAUUUACUGAUUCAUACACCCAUAUCUGUUAUGUUACUGACAUCAUCGAUAUAUCUAUUGCUGUAUAAAAUACACAUGCUUGUAUAUUAGACACUGACGCACACGUCCAAAUUACUCUUUAAAUUGAACUGCAUUUCACUCUAAAAUGUUAUUAACAUCAUAAUGUUUGGAAUAGCAACGAAUAAAGGUUGUGAUGCAAUUAUGUGAAAUUCGUUUUCAAACAGAAGCUUUUGGAAGGCAUUGCUAUUAAAAUAUAGGAAGUCUAGAUUAUUACAGGCACAUUUGUAUGUAACAAUGAUGCUGUAAUUGCUCGACGGGGCUCACCUGAUCAUUGUGCCCAGAUGUUCCUGCAAGUCGUGUGGUGUACACUUGCAGCGUUUGUGUUGAAUACAAUGUAUUUUAAAGAGAAAGUCUUUUACUAUUGAUGCGAAAAUGACCAGGUGUACACGAGUAAUAAACAUUAAAAUAUUGAA